UGGAGGGGGGGGGGGUGGGAAUCUGCUGCGGCCACCAUUCAGGUGGAUUCCAGCAUGGCUUCGGCCUCCUCCGGACACGGAGCGAGCUUGUUGCGUUUUCUGCGGCUGGUCGGGCAGCUCAAGAGAGUCCCACGGACGGGCUGGGUGUACAGGAAUGUGGAAAAACCAGAGAGUGUGUCAGAUCACAUGUACCGGAUGGCAGUAAUGGCUAUGGUGACCAGAGAUGACCACCUUAACAAGGAUCGAUGUAUACGCCUAGCCCUGGUUCACGAUAUGGCAGAAUGCAUCGUUGGGGACAUAGCACCAGCAGAUAACAUCCCCAAAGAAGAAAAACAUAGGCGAGAAAAGGAGGCUAUGAAGCAGAUCACCCAGCUGCUGCCAGAGGACCUCAGGAAGGAGCUCUAUGAACUCUGGGAAGAAUAUGAGACCCAAUCUAGUGCAGAGGCCAGAUUCGUGAAGCAGCUGGACCAGUGUGAAAUGAUCCUUCAGGCAUCAGAAUAUGAAGACAUGGAGAAUAAACCUGGGAGGCUUCAAGACUUCUAUGAUUCCACAGCAGGAAAAUUCAGUCACCCUGAGAUAGUCCAGCUUGUUUCUGAACUGGAGGCAGAGAGAAAUGCCAACAUAGCCUCGGCCUCUGCGGAGCCAGGCUCCUGAGUGCACCUCGCGACUCUGCUGCCCUAUUUUCUUCUCUGCUUCAUGGGAACGUGUUUUUCUGCUGUGGCUCUGAAGAUUUCCUAAGAUGAGAAUCUAUCUUCCGUUGUCCGGACUUGAGCAACAGUGUGAUAUAACCCCGGUCCUAAAAGAAGCCACCAAACUGGAAGUGGUCAGGAAUAUGCCAUGGGCGAAGGCUCGAGAGGAGAAUGCUUGUUUUUUGUAUACUCUGUCGAAAACUGUGGAAAAGAUGGCCAUCCAUUGCAAGCCUCCCUGGUAAUUCAGCAUGAGCAAUGAGCCUUCUACUGGAAAUGUCAUCUUCCAAUGGAAGGAGGCCUUUGAGGCUGGUGUGGAACAUUCUAAGUAGCGUUUCUCUGGAAACUCUGCAGUAUCCAUGGAUACGCUGUCUGCAGGAAGCAAGAUACAUGAUUUCUGCAAAAGCAACCAUGUGUAUGAUAUCGACUGAGUUGAAAGGUAAAGAAUGUGAAAAUGUUAUUUUUUAAGGUCUUAUUAGUAAGAAAAAAGUCUACCUAUUAGUAUUGUGGGGUCUUUUCUGUUGGUUUGGAAAUUUUCACAAAAUAACUCAAACACAGUUCAAGAAUAUGUGAGCAGAGCCUUUUCCAUGGGAAAGCUUUUCUGGGCUUUGAUUUGCUGUGUUGUGCCCACUGCGAUUUCUCAUGAUGUCAGGGCAGUCUGGAGGCUGUGGAAGCCUCUGCUGACUCAGGCCUUACUCUUUUUAUAUCAUUACCUCAGUUUAACAUUUUCCUGCCAAGAGGCAAUUCACAAUGAGAACUCACCUAACCUUCAUUUUGGAGAAAAAGAAAACAAUGGGACUGUGACUAAAAUCUUAAUAAAAACCACACUGGAGCUCAGUAAGGAAAGAUAACUCUUUAAUCCAUCAGCAAUGUCUACCAAUAUUGGAACAUUUUUGCUUUUCCUUGGAGGAUUCUUGCUGCCUGCCCAGACUGGUCUUCUACCAAGUCCUACAAUUAUGAUUCAGAGUAAAUAAUUAUUCUUGGGUUGAAUUCAAGAAAAAAAAUCAUUUUGGUCACUGUUUUCCCUGUGCCUUGCAUUUCUCCAGCUGUGACAUUAUUCUCUGUGCCCUUGUGUUUGUGCUCUGGGUGAGUGACUGCCCCUGUGGAUUAUGAGAGAUGACCUUGGGACUCAGGAUUUUCGUGUAUGUCGUCUACAGUUUCAAGGUGGGGAGCAGUGAUCUUGAGGGGAGACUUGCUGCUGGUGGUGGUAUGACGAGUGUGUCCAGGUUCAAGGCUGGGAACCUGGGUCGGAUACAGUAUGAGUGUCCAGGUUCAAAUCACAGUGACUUGUUUUAGUUAAUAGGUCUAUUUGGUAUAUUUUACAAAUGUGUCAUAGAUUAUAUCCCUGCUACCAAACAGCCAACCGGUUUCUGUUGUGAAGAAAAAAAGUUUACAACGUUAAAGGAAAAGGUGGUCACAGGGAGCUGGGUGUCUUUUCGUCCAGGUGAACAAUGUGUAAAUUGGAAAUUCGUCCUAACCCACCUUCUCCUGUGUUGGGAGCAGUGAGACCCCAGAUCCUGAAUUUCUUGUAAUCCCCUGAUCUGAGUGCCCACAGCUGUUCUGAGCACAAGAACAGGAGUUCCUGAUUGCAGGAGAGUGGUUUCCGGUGGGUUUGGCUUGGACGUGUCUAUCUCUGUAUAAUCUGCCCCUGAACACAAUAAAGGGGGCAUUCUUGGGGAAUUCAAGGAUGACCCGUGUCUCUGUC